rnacentral:rRNA from 1 species
AUGGGUUGUAAACUGCUUUUAUACGGGAAGAAACCCCUCUACGUGUAGAAGGUUGACGGUACUGUACGAAUAAGGAUCGGCUAACUCCGUGCCAGCAGCCGCGGUAAUACGGAGGAUGCAAGCGUUAUCCGGAUUCAUUGGGUUUAAAGGGUGCGUAGGCGGAAUGUUAAGUCAGAGGUGAAAUCCUGCAGCUCAACUGUAGAACUGCCUUUGAUACUGUUAUUCUUGAGUAUAGUUGAAGUGGGCGGAAUGUGUAAUGUAGCGGUGAAAUGCAUAGAUAUGACACAGAACACCGAUUGCGAAGGCAGCUUACUAACCUAUAACUGACGCUGAGGCACGAAAGCGUGGGGAGCGAACAGGAUUAGAUACCCUGGUAGUCCACGCCGUAAACGAUGAUCACUCGCUGUUGG